CAGGCUUAACACAUGCAAGUCGAGGGGCAGCAUUUCAGUUUGCUUGCAAACUGGAGAUGGCGACCGGCGCACGGGUGAGUAACACGUAUCCAACCUGCCGAUAACUCGGGGAUAGCCUUUCGAAAGAAAGAUUAAUACCCGAUGGUAUAAUCAGACCGCAUGGUCUUGUUAUUAAAGAAUUUCGGUUAUCGAUGGGGAUGCGUUCCAUUAGGCAGUUGGUGAGGUAACGGCUCACCAAACCUUCGAUGGAUAGGGGUUCUGAGAGGAAGGUCCCCCACAUUGGAACUGAGACACGGUCCAAACUCCUACGGGAGGCAGCAGUGAGGAAUAUUGGUCAAUGGGCGCAGGCCUGAACCAGCCAAGUAGCGUGAAGGAUGACUGCCCUAUGGGUUGUAAACUUCUUUUAUAUGGGAAUAAAGUUUUCCACGUGUGGAAUUUUGUAUGUACCAUAUGAAUAAGGAUCGGCUAACUCCGUGCCAGCAGCCGCGGUAAUACGGAGGAUCCGAGCGUUAUCCGGAUUUAUUGGGUUUAAAGGGAGCGUAGGUGGACAGUUAAGUCAGUUGUGAAAGUUUGCGGCUCAACCGUAAAAUUGCAGUUGAUACUGGCUGUCUUGAGUACAGUAGAGGUGGGCGGAAUUCGUGGUGUAGCGGUGAAAUGCUUAGAUAUCACGAAGAACUCCGAUUGCGAAGGCAGCUCACUGGACUGCAACUGACACUGAUGCUCGAAAGUGUGGGUAUCAAACAGGAUUAGAUACCCUGGUAGUCCACACAGUAAACGAUGAAUACUCGCUGUUUGCGAUAUACAGUAAGCGGCCAAGCGAAAGCAUUAAGUAUUCCACCUGGGGAGUACGCCGGCAACGGUGAAACUCAAAGGAAUUGACGGGGGCCCGCACAAGCGGAGGAACAUGUGGUUUAAUUCGAUGAUACGCGAGGAACCUUACCCGGGCUUAAAUUGCAUUUGAAUAUAUUGGAAACAGUAUAGCCGUAAGGCAAAUGUGAAGGUGCUGCAUGGUUGUCGUCAGCUCGUGCCGUGAGGUGUCGGCUUAAGUGCCAUAACGAGCGCAACCCUUAUCUUUAGUUACUAACAGGUCAUGCUGAGGACUCUAGAGAGACUGCCGUCGUAAGAUGUGAGGAAGGUGGGGAUGACGUCAAAUCAGCACGGCCCUUACGUCCGGGGCUACACACGUGUUACAAUGGGGGGUACAGAAGGCAGCUACCUGGUGACAGGAUGCUAAUCCCAAAAGCCUCUCUCAGUUCGGAUCGAAGUCUGCAACCCGACUUCGUGAAGCUGGAUUCGCUAGUAAUCGCGCAUCAGCCAUGGCGCGGUGAAUACGUUCCCGGGCCUUGUACACACCGCCCGUCAAGCCAUGAAAGCCGGGGGUACCUGAAGUACGUAAAAGGAAGGAGC
rnacentral:rRNA from 1 species